rnacentral:lncRNA from 1 species
CAUUUUGGUUUAUGGGAUAUUCAAAUCAAAGAGAUGCCAGGAGACAGCGUCAGUCUAGCACUUUCAUUCUUGUAGAAUAUGAUUGUUUUUCCCAUUCACAUUAAUCCCAUCUUUUUAAAAUGUUGUGAUAUAAAGUGGAAAUAUUUGAUUUCUCAGAAUCUCAGUUACAGAGCUGAGGGCAGCUUUGGAAUCGUCGAAUCCUCGUGUUGCUUAGAUGAGAAAGCAGGCGAUGUGACUUGCUGCGAAGCCCACAGAAGGCAGCCCAGGUUCUCGAAUUGGCAGUCCCAACGUCCAGGCUGUGGCUUUUCUCUACUUUUUCUUGCACUGACUUCUUAAAGACACUCAGAGGCCACGAUAACCAGUCAUAAGAAACAAAAGGGGAAAAAAUUCCUUUUCCCCAGUGAGAUACAAUGAAUAAGAAAAAUCUUAUCUGACGAAGUCAGUGACUUCGUAAUUUCAAUGAGUGAAUUUCAUGUUCCAUGUUUUGUAUUUUCGUUGUCCUUGUACCAUUGGAUUUGGAAUCUACUUAAUGUUAUUUUGGUAGCCAGGAAUUGUGGUGACAUUUUGUGUAGGCCUUCCUAGAUUUUCAUAAUAAUCGGAUUAGAAUAUAAAUAGGCAUACUUGAGACAUGACUGUAAUGAAGCAGAAUGAGACCUAAUAUGAUUCGGAAAGGGCUUGCGGUGGAAGGGAAUGCUCACUCAGUGUUUGUGAGAUGCAGUUCUGUCAAUGACUGAAGGCUGACCUGUGCUUCGUGUUUUUAUACAGACUUGUUUACAGUCCAUGGCUUUUUUUUAGAAGGGAAAAUCUAAAACAUAAUUAAGCUUUGGAAACAACAAAAUUCUUUGGUGCGUCAGGCUCACUGUCUGGUGGAUGUCUCUCUUUUCUCCAGAGUUAUGUACUUCAUACCUCUCCUGCUGGUGAGAUCAGUCAGUCUUCCCUUCUUGGCUCACCUGCAUUUUUAUCUUCCUGUAGGAAAGGAAUUUCUUACAGUAAGUACUCUAAUAUAAAGAAACUAAAGACUUGGAGACGUAGUUGCCUUCUAGCUUAAGAAGUAAGUUCGUGUUGUAGAACUGUGUCUUUUAAAAGGUUCAACAAAUUUAAAGAAUAAGAUUUAUGAACCUUGUCCAAC